AUGCAGGUGGAAUACAGGGCGCUCAUGGAGAACCGGACGUGGACACUCGUGCCGCGCCCUCGGAACGCCAACAUCGUCACCGGCAAAUGGUUGUUCCGCCACAAACUCAACUCCGACGGCAGCCUGGAGCGCUACAAGGCCCGCUGGGUGCUUCGAGGUUUCUCUCAACGUCCCGGCGUGGACUUCGACGAAACCUUCUCGCCCGUUGUCAAGGCCGCCACGAUCCGGGUCGUCCUCACGAUCGCCGCCUCGCGCCAGUGGCCUGUCCACCAGAUGGACGUGAACAAUGCCUUCCUCCACGGCCGUCUCACUGAGCAGGUGUACUGCCAACAGCCUGCAGGCUUCAUCGACGCCGACUACCCUGAUCAUGUGUGCCUCCUCGACAAGUCGCUAUACGGACUAAAACAAGCCCCGCGCGCCUGGUUCGCGCGGUUC
rnacentral:rRNA from 1 species